UGCUGGCUAUUCUGAGAACAUCCUAAGGUCUUCAUCACCUCAGGACCUUUGCACAUGAUAUGUCAGCUUUAAUGUGCCUCCCCUGGCUCUGCACAACAGAUGACUUCUCGUUCAUCAGAUCCAGCUCUAAUCUCACCUUUGGAAGGACUUCCGGAAUCAUCCAAGUCACAACCCAGCUCAGAGGAAGGCCAGAUGUCCUAUUGUGAGGUGCUUUGUGGAAAUGCCACAUGGCAAGGAUCUGGGGACAGCCUCCAGCCAACAGCCAGAGAAAAACCAAGGUGCUCAGUCCAACAGCCCUCGAGGUACCGAAUCCUGUGAACAGCUGCACGAAUGAACUUGGAAAUGGGUCCUCCCCAGGCCACCCUUGAGAUGACCACAGUUCAGACCAACCCCAUGGUUGCUGCCUUGUGGGUGAUCCUGAGCCAGAGACCCCAGUGAAGCCAUGCUUAGAUCUCUGUCCUACAGAGACUUUGGGAUAAUAGAUGUUUGGUUUUCUAAGCCAUUGGGUUUUGGAGCAAUGUGUCAAUAAACAACUAACACAGGG